AGACUUGCAGGGAUUACGAUUUGCAGGAGUAGAUAAUCUUGAAAUUUUGGAUGAAUUUGUCAUAAUUUGAUGUUUGACCAGAGAAGACCAUUGUUUGGGCUUUUCUACCAUGAAG
rnacentral:sRNA from 1 species